GUCCAUGCCGUAAACGAUGCCAGCUGGGUGUUUGGAGGGGAAACCCUUCUGGGUACCGAAGUCAACACGGUAAGCUGGCCGCCUGGGGAGUACGGUCGCAAGAUUAAAACUCAAAGGAAUUGACGGGGGCCCGCACAAGCAGCGGAGCGUGUGGUUUAAUUCGAGGCUACACGAAGAACCUUACCUGGGUUUGACAUAUAAGUGGUAGUGAAGCGAAAGCGGAACGACCUUCUGGAGCUUAUACAGGUGCUGCAUGGCUGUCGU
rnacentral:rRNA from 1 species